CCUACGGGUGGCUGCAGUAGGGAAUCUUCGGCAAUGGACGAAAGUCUGACCGAGCAACGCCGCGUGAGUGAAGAAGGUUUUCGGAUCGUAAAACUCUGUUGUUAGAGAAGAAUAAGGAUGAGAGUAAAAAGUUCAUCCCUUGACGGUAUCUAACCAGAAAGCCACGGCUAACUACGUGCCAGCAGCCGCGGUAAUACGUAGGUGGCAAGCGUUGUUCGGAUUUAUUGGGCGUAAAGCUAACGCAGGAGGUGAAAGCCCCCGGCUUAACCGGGGAGGGUCAUUGGAAACUGAGGAACUUGAGUGCAGAAGAGGAGAGUGGAAUUCCAUGUGUAGCGGUGAAAUGCGUAGAUAUAUGGAGGAACACCAGUGGCGAAGGCGACUCUCUGGUCUGUAACUGACGCUGAGGCUCGAAAGCGUGGGGAGCAAACAGGAUUAGAUACCCGAGUAGUC
rnacentral:rRNA from 1 species